rnacentral:rRNA from 1 species
AGUGAACGCUGGCGGUAGGCCUAACACAUGCAAGUCGAACGGCAGCACAGUAAGAGCUUGCUCUUACGGGUGGCGAGUGGCGGACGGGUGAGGAAUACAUCGGAAUCUACUUUUUCGUGGGGGAUAACGUAGGGAAACUUACGCUAAUACAGCAUACGACCUACGGGUGAAAGCAGGGGAUCUUCGGACCUUGCGCGAUUGAAUGAGCCGAUGUCGGAUUAGCUAGUUGGCGGGGUAAAGGCCCACCAAGGCGACGAUCCGUAGCUGGUCUGAGAGGAUGAUCAGCCACACUGGAACUGAGCCACGGUCCAGACUCCUACGGGAGGCAGCAUUGGGGAAUAUUGGACAAUGGGCGCAAGCCUGAUCCAGCCAUACCGCGUGGGUGAAGAAGGCCUUCGGGUUGUAAAGCCCUUUUGUUGGGAAAGAAAAGCAGCAGGUUAAUACCCCGCUGUUCUGACGGUACCCAAAGAAUAAGCACCGGCUAACUUCGUG